rnacentral:rRNA from 1 species
AGAGUUUGAUCCUGGCUCAGGAUGAACGCUGGCGGCGUGCCUAAUACAUGCAAGUCGAGCGAACGGACGAGAAGCUUGCUUCUCUGAUGUUAGCGGCGGACGGGUGAGUAACACGUGGAUAACCUACCUAUAAGACUGGGAUAACUUCGGGAAACCGGAGCUAAUACCGGAUAAUAUUUUGAACCGCAUGGUUCAAAAGUGAAAGACGGUCUUGCUGUCACUUAUAGAUGGAUCCGCGCUGCAUUAGCUAGUUGGUAAGGUAACGGCUUACCAAGGCAACGAUGCAUAGCCGACCUGAGAGGGUGAUCGGCCACACUGGAACUGAGACACGGUCCAGACUCCUACGGGAGGCAGCAGUAGGGAAUCUUCCGCAAUGGGCGAAAGCUUGACGGAGCAACGCCGCGUGAGUGAUGAAGGUCUUCGGAUCGUAAAACUCUGUUAUUAGGGAAGAACAUAUGUGUAAGUAACUGUGCACAUCUUGACGGUACCUAAUCAGAAAGCCACGGCUAACUACGUGCCAGCAGCCGCGGUAAUACGUAGGUGGCAAGCGUUAUCCGGAAUUAUUGGGCGUAAAGCGCGCGUAGGCGGUUUUUUAAGUCUGAUGUGAAAGCCCACGGCUCAACCGUGGAGGGUCAUUGGAAACUGGAAAACUUGAGUGCAGAAGAGGAAAGUGGAAUUCCAUGUGUAGCGGUGAAAUGCGCAGAGAUAUGGAGGAACACCAGUGGCGAAGGCGACUUUCUGGUCUGUAACUGACGCUGAUGUGCGAAAGCGUGGGGAUCAAACAGGAUUAGAUACCCUGGUAGUCCACGCCGUAAACGAUGAGUGCUAAGUGUUAGGGGGUUUCCGCCCCUUAGUGCUGCAGCUAACGCAUUAAGCACUCCGCCUGGGGAGUACGACCGCAAGGUUGAAACUCAAAGGAAUUGACGGGGACCCGCACAAGCGGUGGAGCAUGUGGUUUAAUUCGAAGCAACGCGAAGAACCUUACCAAAUCUUGACAUCCUUUGACAACUCUAGAGAUAGAGCCUUCCCCUUCGGGGGACAAAGUGACAGGUGGUGCAUGGUUGUCGUCAGCUCGUGUCGUGAGAUGUUGGGUUAAGUCCCGCAACGAGCGCAACCCUUAAGCUUAGUUGCCAUCAUUAAGUUGGGCACUCUAAGUUGACUGCCGGUGACAAACCGGAGGAAGGUGGGGAUGACGUCAAAUCAUCAUGCCCCUUAUGAUUUGGGCUACACACGUGCUACAAUGGACAAUACAAAGGGCAGCGAAACCGCGAGGUCAAGCAAAUCCCAUAAAGUUGUUCUCAGUUCGGAUUGUAGUCUGCAACUCGACUACAUGAAGCUGGAAUCGCUAGUAAUCGUAGAUCAGCAUGCUACGGUGAAUACGUUCCCGGGUCUUGUACACACCGCCCGUCACACCACGAGAGUUUGUAACACCCGAAGCCGGUGGAGUAACCUUUUAGGAGCUAGCCGUCGAAGGUGGGACAAAUGAUUGGGGUGAAGUCGUAACAAGGUAGCCGUAUCGGAAGGUGCGGCUGGAUCACCU